rnacentral:rRNA from 1 species
UACGUAGGGACCGAGCGUUGUCCGGAAUCAUUGGGCGUAAAGAGCGUGUAGGCGGCCACUUAAGUCCUGCGUGAAAUCUUGCGGCUCAACAGCAAGCGGUCGUGGGAAACUGGGUGGCUAGAGUGCGGGAGAGGAGAGUGGAAUUCCUGGUGUAGCGGUGGAAUGCGCAGAUAUCAGGAAGAACACCCGUGGCGAAGGCGGCUCUCUGGAACGCAACUGACGCUGAGACGCGAAAGCGUGGGGAGCAAACAGG